GUUUCUGUAGUGUAGUGGUUAUCACGUUCGCCUAACAACGCGAAAGGGCUCGCGUUCAAAACCGGAAGGGAAACA